UAUCUCUGUAGAGUCUGCAUAUCAAUAAGCGGAGGAAAAGAAACUAACAAGGAUUCCCUUAGUAACGGCGAGUGAAGCGGGAAGAGCUCAAAUUUGAAAUCUUCAAGGUUUUACCUUGACGAAUUGUAGUUUAAAGAAGUGUUUUCUGUUGGAGUUUCGGUAAAAGUUCUUUGGAAUAGGACAUCAUAGAGGGUGAGAAUCCCGUAUUUGACCAUUAUUUCAACUGUGUGAUACACUUUCAAAGAGUCGGAUUGUUUGGGAAUGCAGUCCAAAAUGGGUGGUAAAUUUCAUCUAAAGCUAAAUAUUGGCGAGAGACCGAUAGCGAACAAGUACCGUGAGGGAAAGAUGAAAAGAACUUUGAAAAGAGAGUUAAACAGUACGUGAAAUUGUCAAAAGGGAAGCGUUUGACACCAGUGUUGUUUUCUCGAAAAUCAAUUAAAAAUGAUUGGAUUUUGUGUUGUAUUGACCUUAUCAAGCUUUCAUCACUCUUUUUCAUUGUCUUUUUUAAUGCACUUUUCGUUUAACAAGUCAACAUCAGUUUCUUUUGUUGUAAAAGGGUCAUUGGAGGGUGGCUUUCUUUUCGGAGAAAGUGUUUAUAGCCUUUGCCUCUGCAAUCGGAGAGAUUGAGGUCUGCAGCGUAGAUCCUUCUGGAUUAGAUACAUUUGUGCUAAGUUAUAGCCUUUCAUAGACAACUUGUUGACUAUGAUCAGUCAUGUAGCUUACUCGCUUAUGCUAUUUUACCUACGCUUAGGAUGUUGAUCUCUCACAGUCGAGC
rnacentral:rRNA from 1 species